CAGGCGCCAUGCUUCGGUGGGCGGUUGUCCGCUGUUGAGGUGAAAGGCGGGAGAAGAGUUCAGUUGUCAGCCGCCGGUUACUACUUUAAGAUACCUCAUGAUUCCAGCUACACUGCAGUAUUGGCAACAACAUCAAAGUGAAAGACGCUAGAUUACUGAAUCAAAACAUGAGAAGAAUAUUUAAACUGAUUGCAUUAGGUGGCAGUAGUAUACAAAACAGAAGCACAAGAAGAGGAGGAAAUUAUAACACCAUUGAAGAGUGACCAGGAUCAACUACCAACAGAAUUCAAUCUCUAAAAUAGCAUAUCAUUGCUAAUGUGUGUGCUUAGAAUUCUUAC